rnacentral:lncRNA from 1 species
UUUCAUUGCUUUUCUUAAAUACCAAUAAAUUAGUCAGAUAAGCGAACAAAACUAAUUAAAUAACUAUCUUUCAAUUACUUGCCUUAGACAUCAAUAGGUUAAUCAGUCCAAAUAGGUUAGCUUAAGCGAAUCAAGCUCAAGUCAUUAAGUCAAAUUAAGUUUUUAGAUUAAUCGAUUCUGUAUAUGAGAUUUAAUUGAUUUGAUC